rnacentral:rRNA from 1 species
AAGAGUUAGGUAAAUCCGGCUCUUUUUAAGGCUGAGACACGACGUCGAGCAUCUACGGAUGUGAAGUCAUUGAUGCCAUGCUUCCAGGAAAAGCCUCUAAGCUUCAGAUUGUAAGGAAUCGUACCCCAAACCGACACAGGUGGUCGGGUAGAGAAUACCAAGGCGCUUGAGAGAACUCGGGUGAAGGAACUAGGCAAAAUGGUACCGUAACUUCGGGAGAAGGUACGCUCUCGACGGUGAAGUCCCUCGCGGAUGGAGCUAUUGAGAGUCGCAGAUACCAGGUGGCUGCAACUGUUUAUUAAAAACACAGCACUGUGCAAAAUCGUAAGAUGACGUAUACGGUGUGACGCCUGC